UAUGUGUGUGUAUAUAUAUUUAUAUAUAAAGCCACAAGUUCACAUUGGCUUUACGAAUAUCAUUAUUAUUGUGAUAACUGUGCUAAUGUUUAACAUAUUAUAGGCCUAAAAUGUAUUUUUAAGAUGCAGAUUAAAGAAAACUAUAAAUGAAGCUGCAUAGUUUUAUUUUAGUGUUACAUGCACCAAAAUGGGAUUUUUUUUUCCUUUUUGGCUAAAUUUUGGCUUGAGGAAAGAGUUGGCCUACACAUAAGAAAAACAACUUACGAUUCAGCUCUCUGUUUACGUAUUAGGUGGUUUGCAGUAAGUAGAAGGAAAAUGGUGACGGACAGUGCCUAUAUGUGCAUUAAUAACACCAUUUACAGAAAGAUCAACAGUGUUAUUAACCAGGGCUAACUUAAUUCCUGUGAUAAUUUUGAGCUUUUUAAUAGUUUAACAGUCUAAGUCUAUGCUAAAAAGUAAAAAAACAACAACAACAACAAAAAACAAGACACAUACUGCACAGAGACCAGGUAACUCUGAUCCCAGAAUGCAGACACUAAAUUCAGUCUGGGGUGUACAGUGAUUGAUCACACAUCUCUAUCCUAUUUCACUCUGAAUACUGUAAGCCAUAAAACUCCCUGCUCUAACAUAAGAACUUACUUUUACUUUCUUUUGGCACAAAGGAUAAUAUUUAGCAUGUUAAAUUAUUUAAAGAUUUUAAGUAAAAGGACAAUAUAUAUCAAAUAAUUGGUAAGAUGUUAUCACUUCAACAUCAUCAUAUAUUGGUUACAGAGGAAGGUACAAAAAGUAUGUGGAAAAAAUAAUAAUGUGCCAAUCCCAUGGCUCAUUCCACAAAAAGAAUGCACCAUCACAGGAAGACUAGAACUCAUUGAGAUCAUACUUCACAGCUUUCAGAAUGAAUUCAGUAAAUUCUAGAUUCUAUCAAAAAGAACCAUAUGCAUGAAAGAUAAUGAAAGAUAAUUAAAGAUAGGAAUAAGCCUUCAUGCAGCACGUUUUUUAUACAGUUUGGAAAUACAUUGUACCUAUACUGAAUAGAUAAUGGAGUUUGGCAGAAGCCAUGUAAGAGCAAGCUCUACCCAGAGACACAACUUCCUGACAGGCAGAGGGGACCUCAACUCUAACACAGAUGACAUAUUGACACUAUGGAAGAUCUCAAAAUGCAAUAUUAUUACCCCUCCUACUUGGCUCCACCAAAAUUAAAGUGGCAUCCAGAAGUCUCAGAAAUGCCAUCCAUCCUGACUUAGUUGCUUCUACCAGCACCAAUCCCAUGCCCGGCCCUGGCCCAGUGAAACACUGAACCAACCAGGGGACUGCAGUCAGAAGGGCACAGUGGGAGAAGGUUGCCAGCUGGUUUCAAUUCAAUCAUUCAAUAUUUACGUAGUGCCUGUAAACUACGUGCUAGGCACAGAGGAUACAAAAAUGGCCCCUUGUUCUGGAGGAAUUCAUAUUUGAGUAGGAAAAAAUGCAUGUAAACAAAUAAUAUUUGAAUUAAGUCAUGAAGGAUGAGAAGUAACAGACUUCUGAAGUGGACAGCUGUAAGAAAGACUAACAUGAGAGGAUUGACUCCAUAUUAAUCUUUUCUUUUCCCCCAAAUUUUCAUUAUUACCUUGUCCUAAAAAUUGGUCAUUAACACUAGGCCAUUUGACAUCCUACUGAAAUGAUUAUUUGGUUCACCACUACUACUCUUCUAAUCCCUUCAUCAAUCCCAUGCACUUCUCUCCUUUCCAUGUAAUGCCUUUUGCCUAUCCCUUGCAGCUUUGACACCAGCUAUCAUUGUCAUUGUGAACAACAUGGAAGUGUGCCCAGCAAAGGUCUAUUAGCUAUCAAUAAAAACCCUCUCCUCAA